rnacentral:lncRNA from 1 species
AAAGGACCAGUUGAUUAGCCGAAAAACGUUGGCAAAGCCCGGCAGCGCUGCCGCGGGGAAUUCCACAAAAUGCCUCCGAUGAGGCCCUUCUUGAUUCCCAUUUUACGUAAUUUUUUCACCGUUGUGAUCAUCUUUUCCUUCUCUACAGGUUGACUGGAGCAAAACACCCAACCACAAUGUGAGCCAGAGGAGCUGCUGCACCAGAGAGCCCCGCCACUGGUGAGUUUUAAUUUUUUGUAUUUUUUCGGCCAACUAAGGCCCCUUAACAUGUUUUCUUGUAGGGAUUGAUGCAAAAU